rnacentral:rRNA from 1 species
GAUGAACGCUGGCGGCGUGCCUAAUACAUGCAAGUCGAACGGGGAACCCUGAAACUUGUAUUCGUACUUGUUUUAGGAUCUUCCUAGUGGCGAACGGGUGAGUAUCGCGUUGGUGACCUGCCCCAAAGAGAGGAAUAACAGUCCGAAAGGACUGCUAAUACCUCAUGUGGUCAUGGGAUUUAGAAACCCAUGUCUAAAGGAGUAAUCCACUUUGGGAGGGGCCUGCGUCCCAUCAGCUAGUUGGUAAGGUAACGGCUUACCAAGGCGACGACGGGUAGGGGACCUGAGAGGGUGGCCCCCCACACUGGAACUGAAACACGGUCCAGACAUCUACGGAUGGCAGCAGUAGGGAAUAUUGCACAAUGGGCGAAAGCCUGAUGCAGCAACGCCGCGUGUGCGAUGAAGGCCUUCGGGUCGUAAAGCACUUUUUGAGAGGAUGAGAAAGGACAGUACUCUCAGAAUAAGUCUCGGCUAACUACGUGCCAGCAGCCGCGGUAACACGUAGGAGGCAAGCGUUAUCCGGAUUUACUGGGCGUAAAGCGCGUGCAGGUGGUUUGGUAAGUUGGAUGUGAAAUCUCCCGGCUCAACUGGGUGAGGUCGUUCAAAACUGCCAAGCUAGAGGACGGUAGAGGAAAGUGGAAUUCCCGGUGUAGUGGUGAAAUGCGUAGAUAUCGGGAGGAACACCAGUGGCGAAAGCGACUUUCUGGCCCGUUCCUGACACUAAGACGCGAAAGCUAGGGUAGCAAACGGGAUUAGAGACCCCGGUAGUCCUAGCCGUAAACGAUGUCAACUAGGCGUUGGUGGGUUAAUAGCCAUCAGUGCCGCAGCUAACGCGAUAAGUUGACCGCCUGGGGACUACGAUCGCAAGAUUA